rnacentral:lncRNA from 1 species
AAUGCAUAAUUUUAUAAAUUUAAUGCGGCGUAAUCCAAUCACAACUUGGCCAAAGCCUAAGCAUACACACCAAACAUGCUAGCCAAAUAAACAUAUAGUAUAAGCAUUAUAAGCAUGGAUAAGCACCACAUUUAUAUAUGUAUCAAACUUACUGUAAUGACCCAUUUUAGCCUGGGCCCAAAAUUGAGAAUUCAAAGUCCAUAUUACAAAGUCAAAAAAAAAAAAAUUUAUAGCCCAAAAUAGCUUAAACCAGUUACAACACUUAGCCCACUAACCUAAACCCUAGCCCGAUUACAGAGGCCCAACACC